rnacentral:rRNA from 1 species
GACGAACGCUGGCGGCGUGCUUAACACAUGCAAGUCGAACGGAAAGGCCCCUUUGGGGGUACUCGAGUGGCGCACGGGUGAGUAACACGUGAGUAACCUGCCCUUGACUUCGGGAUAACUUCAGGAAACUGGGGCUAAUACCGGAUAGGAAUCCUUGCUGCAUGGUGGGGGUUGGAAAGCUUCGGCGGUUUUGGAUGGACUCGCGGCUUAUCAGCUUGUUGGUGGGGUAGUGGCUUACCAAGGCUUUGACGGGUAGCCGGCCUGAGAGGGCGACCGGCCACAUUGGGACUGAGAGACGGCCCAGACGCCGACGGGAGGCAGCAGGGGGGAAUAUUGCACAAUGGGCGGAAGCCUGAUGCAGCAACGCCGCGUGCGGGAUGACGGCCUUCGGGUUGGAAACCGCGUUCAGCAGGGGCGAAGCUUGUGGUGACGGUACCUGCAGAAGAAGCACCGGCUAACUACGUG